AGCGAACGCUGGCGGCAGGCUUAACACAUGCAAGUCGAGCGGGCGUAGCAAUACGUCAGCGGCAGACGGGUGAGUAACGCGUGGGAACGUACCUUUUGGUUCGGAACAACACAGGGAAACUUGUGCUAAAUACCGGAUAAGCCCUUACGGGGAAAGAUUUAUCGCCGAAAGAUCGGCCCGCGUCUGAUUAGCUUGUUGGUGAGGUAACGGCUCACCAAGGCGACGAUCAGUAGCUGGUCUGAGAGGAUGAUCAGCCACACUGGGACUGAGACACGGCCCAGACUCCUACGGGAGGCAGCAGUGGGGAAUAUUGGACAAUGGGCGCAAGCCUGAUCCAGCCACGCCGCGUGAGUGAUGAAGGCCUUCGGGUCGUAAGACUCUGUGGGAGGGACGAACCGCUGCACGUUCAUAGCGUGCAGCAUGACGGUACCUCCUUAGCAAGCACCGGCUAACUUCCGUGCCAGCAGCCGCGGUAAU
rnacentral:rRNA from 1 species